rnacentral:rRNA from 1 species
GUCGACGGCCAUCCCACCCCGAAUGCACCCGAUCUUCUGAUCUCAGAAGCUAAGCAGGGUCGGGCCUGGCUAGUUAGUUGGAUGGGAGACCGCCUGGGAACCCCGGGUGCUGUAGGCU